UACGUAGGGGGCUAGCGUUGCUCGGAAUUACUGGGCGUAAAGCGCACGUAGGCGGUUUGCUAAGUCAGGGGUGAAAUCCUGGAGCUCAACUCCAGAACUGCCUUUGAUACUGGCGGUCUUGAGUCCGGGAGAGGUGAGUGGAACUGCGGGUGUAGAGGUGAAAUUCGUAGAUAUUCGCAAGAACACCAGUGGCGAAGGCGGCUCACUGGCCCGGCACUGACGCUGAGGUGCGAAAGCGUGGGGAGCAAACAGG
rnacentral:rRNA from 1 species